UCAGUCUUUCCAUUGCAGGCAUGGAAAGGCUUAUCUUUUUGAUAGGGUGUAAGUGUUUCUUUGUUGCAUGCUCAGUUUUUGUCUCUGUAGAGUGUUGGCUAGAAAUGUUCUUCUCUUAUAAACAUUUAUGCUUGUUCAUGUUUUUGUUAAACUAAUUACUAUAUAAUUCUCUCUUUGUUGCAAUCUGUGAAAGCUAUGUAUUUAUAAGGAAUUGUGUUUAUUUUCACAAAAAGGGAAAUGAAUAGGAUUAUCUUACCUUCUACUAAAUACACAUUAAGAAGGUUUCCUUAGAA